UGUAUGACGGUUUCCGCGCGGGCGGAAUUAAAAGGGAAUCCGGUGUGAAUCCGGGACAGUCCCGCUGCUGUGUUUCUCGAUCCGAAAGGCGAAACACGAGUUCGAAAAUCGGAAGCGUUUGUGUCCAUGAUGCCACUGCCGAAAGGUGGGAAGGCGAUACAAGCAGAGAUUAGUCAGAAGACCUGCCGCGUACA
rnacentral:ncRNA from 1 species